GCCCGGAUGGUCUAGUGGUAUGAUUCUCGCUUGUAAGUUUACCAUUUAAAAAUAUUCACUCAGUGCAUCUGAUACUAAUAAAUUCCUCCAGUGGGCUCAUAGUUCCAAUCUGCGAGAGGCCCCGCGUUCGAAUCGCGGUUCGGGCC